UGUUUGCCUCGCUAUGACGCGUCAAAACGUUAUUAACUAUAAAACAAUAGCUUCGUUUCCUUGCUGGUGCUUCCGCAAUGAAACCACGGUGGUCUUUGUGCGUGCGGUUAUGCGUUAUUCUAUGCGUUGUACCGGCACGCCAACUAGACAGCGUUAGCUACGGUGAGCUAAUGCUAAAUGCAGUUAGCUAGCGUUUAUAACAUUAUGGCUAACGUAACGGUAGCUGCUGGUGAUUCACACGUACAGCAGACGCGAGGCAGCAUUGACGUUGGCUUUACUUGGAGUCCCGCUUCUGCUCACCUGAAAUAAUGACACUGGAUGAGCAGCGUCGUCAUCUUGCCAAGGUCGCGCUGAUGCCACAUAGAGCAGGCGCCAUAUUUGAGUUUGAUGACCGUGGCAUUGGGGCUCACUGUGGGGUCGAGAAGGCUACGUCCCCCGCCGUUUUCGAAUCCAAAACGAUGGAGUGAAGCAAGAUAGCGACAGAUAGACGGAUGUGGCCUGUGAAAGGGAAGUUUGGUGUCUCCUGCUGGUUGCCCGCGCGACCGGCUCCGGAUGAGCGGAUGACUGAAUAAAUCAGCGGAUCCUCACUGACCGUGGAAAAUAAUUUGUAAACUGAGAGCUUUGACCUCUGAGAUGAAUAUGGAGUUGUGCAAAAACAUCCAUCGACAGAAGCCUCUGUGCUCUUUGCACCCUCAAACAAAUGAUUUGGUGGAAAAGCUCAAUGGUACAAUUCAAUGGUAAAAAUUAUGGGUGUAACGCUUCAUUUUAACGAUUCGAAUCGCGAUUCAUGGUUUUCGAUUCAUGGACGAUCUGGGUUAAUUUAGAACGAUUCGAUUGAGUGACUUGAAAUCGAUUCAGUAACUUUACUGGACAGUGCAGGCAAAGUUUCUGAGAUCCCUGUUGUUUCUUGUAAGGAAAUCAGGUUUAAAUUAAUUAUGGAUAUUAUAAACAAGCAAACAACAAUUAAUGGCAAAUGUAUUAACCUUUUAUUUGAAUCAAGUGCCAUUUUUAAUGUAAACAUUACACAUUGUUUGCAUCAAUUCACAGAACCCCGGAUUUUCAACCACAUUGUCGGGUCGCAUGUCUUUACAGAUAAACUUUGCAAUUGUUACUGUGAUGUUGAGUUUGGUGCUGGCGAGGCCUGAGGCGUCUGCAGAGCUGGAGUUACCUUCUGCUGCUGCAGCGGUGACGCUGCUAGAGGUCCUGACUGUCGGCGUUGUUUAAUCCCACGGCGCCUUAGUAGAUGGCCGGAAAGAUUCGUCGUGUUUCCGUAGUUUUUUAAUUUGUCUUCUACAUAUUCUACAAACAGCGACCGACUUAUUUAGAACACCUCUGUGUUUACAAAAGCCAAAAUGUUUCCACGCGCUGAAUCGAUUAAGUUGGUUUGUAAAUGUCUCGCUGGCAGUCGUCUCCUCCACGCUGAGUUUUGUUGUUGUUCAGAGUUUCGCGCGGCUGCCGCUGCGGACUGAUGACGUCACAGACAGGCAGACUGAAUCCAGUAACGUUUAACGCGUCUAAAGUGCUAAAAAACAAACAAACAAACACUCAUCCACACAGUUUUUGUGCUUACAUCCAAUGUGCUCCAAGUAUCGAUACAAAUCGAUUAUGUUUUAGAUUAGAUUCAACUUUAUUGUCACUGCACAGGGUACAAGUACUGAGGCAACGAAAUGCAGUUUAACAUCCAACCAGAAGUGCGAAAUAGUGCAAAAAAAGUGCAGAGUAUGUGCAUAUGUAAAGUGUAAUAAGUGAAUAAAUAGAUAUGUACAGUAAGAAAUAGUUUUGCAGUAUGAACAGUAAGAAAUGGAUAUGUAAUAACCGUAAUAGUGCAAAUGUUCAGUGGCAGUGUGUG
ensembl:lncRNA